rnacentral:lncRNA from 1 species
CACGUCAUCACCAUCAAAUGCAACUGCGUCUGUGGAAGAUUCUGGAAGUAACAGUAGAACUUCUGCUGGUACUAUCGCCGCCAGCUCAUCUGAUGACAUGGCUGAUGGGAUAAAAGCCACAGUGACAGUUGUGAAAAGUCCGUCUAUUAGCAUAAUGGACAGUUUCUUACGUGGUUGGGAUUUAAACUUUUUCAAAACCAGAUAAUCAUAUGUUAUUAUUGAUUAAUUUUGUGGCUUUUGAUUUCCUACAUAUUGUAUAUUAGGUGUUAACUUUGGUUCUUUUUUGAUUGUAUGGAAACAAAAUAUCGUUUGUGUUUCUUGCGUCUAAUUUCUUGAUCUUACAGGAUAUAACAUAACAUAUUGUAUUGUUUUUGGCGUACAUUGAACAGGAAAAUGAGACUAAUAAUGGUGUCGAGACUCUAAAUAAAUACAAAACUAAUUAGUAUAAUGAUCAAAGGUGACUUCAUACCAAAAGGAUCUAUUUAGUAAUAAUCAUUGUUCGCUAAAAGUAAUUACCGUCUUAAUAAGAAAAAAAAAGGAAUAUUGUUGGUGGGUAAAUUGAUGUCCUUUGGCAAGUAAAUUAGCUUUUAACUGUAAGAAUUUGUAACAAGACAGCUAGGCUUGGUAUGUGCAAUUGUGUGAUGUAUAUAGUUUUAAUAAAUUUAUGUACAAUUCUAAGAAACCUAAAAGCACUAACUAUUUAAUUAUCUUUAGCAAUAAAUCUAGAACUCGAUAGUAAUCAUAGAUAGAAUUUUUCUUAUUACUUCAUACCCAAGCAUAAAACAUGAGAGGUAUUAUAAGGGAGUACAAGAUUAUAAAGAUGGUAAACAGGCUAAAUAAAAGGAAAAAAUAAAGCAAAUAAAAUAUAAAAGAUAUCUUAUGAUAUGGUUUCCAACUAGAAGGAAUUUAGGGUUUAGGGUUUAGGGUUGUUUUGCUUAUUUGCUUAAUAUAGCAUCCUAUUUUAAUUUUUUUAAAUGUAAUUCUUAAAAAAUAUAAAGAUGAAACUACCAAACCAUAAAGAAAUGUCCAUUUUUUUCAAACCUGCUGGCCAAUAUAUUACUGAAACGGGCAGAAUAGUCUUUUUGUCUGUUAUUAUCCUUGUCCUAAUCCCUAAAAAAAAUCAUGUAAUAUAUUAACUACUAUUAUAUUGUCUAGACCAAAAUUUAUAAAAGUGAUGGUGUUUUAGUAAACUAAAAAGUCAAUAUUUUGAUAGAAAAGAAAAUAAAAACCCAUCACUGAACGGUUCAUAAACGAUUAAUCUAUUGAUAACAAAUUCUAACAACUUGCUAGAACAACUUUUAAAAAAAAACACAAAUGAUUAUCCUACCACAUACCUUUCAACACACACUAACAAUAUUUCCCCUGCGGCCGAUGGUUUUGUUGCGAGAAAAAUAAUUUACGGGAAGCAAGGCAGCAAGUCAGGCAAUCCAUAAUACUAACAAUCAUUUAUGUGGGUGAAAAAUCAAAAUUAUAACAGAAGUAUGAUGCUGUUUCUUGCAUAUAAUCCUUAAGUUAUUUUCCUAAAAAAUAAGAUAUAAAAAAAUUAAAUUCAAUAAUUUCAUUUGCAAAUCAUCCAUGGAACGAAAACAAUAUAGAUACAAUAAAAGGAAGCAAGGGCAAUGGUCGGCUGAAAUUGUUAUAAACGCGCAGUAAGGUUUUUUAUAUAUUAAGCAGAACUAUUGUAUAUAAUUUUAUAAGUAAUAUUAUAUGAAAGUCUAACAUUUUCAAUACAUAUACUUCUUCAUGAAGGUCCCAUUUGUCCUGUUCCCACCAAUUUUAACACAGAAACUAAAGCAUCAAGCUUCUCAGGUGUAAAGCUCCCUUGCUUUAUAAAUUGCAUUUCCUACAUAAGUUUGUAGGAUAUAUGUAUACAUAUUGUUAGGAAAUAUGUAGAGAAAUUUUUAGAUAUGGUUUUGGUAAGGUGAUCAUGGUUUAUGCAUAUUACCUUUUUGAGGGCAUAUUAGUCUUCAAAUAAACAAACAUAUUAUGAUAAGAGAAUGUAAACUUUGAAAGCUAAAUUUGCAAAUGGAUGAUAAAUUUUAGUUGGUGGAGAAAGAUGGCUGAAAUUGAUAAGAAUACUUUACCAUUUAUUGAUUUCAAACCCAGAUUUUAAAUAGUCGUUUUAACAAACACCUGGUGCGCUUCGUCCAUUUCUUCAAACUUCUCUAAUAAUCAUGAACACACACAGCUGUUCCUGCAACCUCAUCCCGUCAAACACCUGAAAAACGAAACAAAAUCCAGUGUUUUUUGAAAGCUAGAAAAGAAAGAAAAUGAAUAAUCGAAAACGAACCUUAAAUUGAUUCCCAGAGAAAGAACGGAAACUGAUAGGAGAAGCAGUGAAGGAAACGUAGAACCGUUAAGAAAAGAGGAAAUCGAUGAUGUCGUCGGCGCCCUGAUCCAAAGAACCACCACCAAACGGUCUCUGACUGCUGCUCCUUCAGCAGUCGUCGAUCACCAGCAACAGCUCCAACGUCAGUCACAAUGAUGAUCGUCAACCGUCGACCGCCUUCAAUAUUGGCGACGUAACAAAUCUGCCCGGGUGGGAACCGAACACCCCGCUGCUCCGAAGAGAGAAAAGAAAGGAAGUCGGAGGAAAUGAGAGACGAGUUUUAUUAAAAGAGGAAGCCUAAGGAAAUGAAAG